rnacentral:lncRNA from 1 species
ACUCACUUAAUAGGUGCAUGCGAAAGCUUUUGGUUUCCAUUACUUUUUCAUCAUUCAUUUACAUAAAGAAAAAAGGAAGAUUAGCCUACCCACUAUGAGUGAAAACCUUUUCUGCUUCUCUAAUUAAUUGAUCGUUUCGUAUCUCGAAAUUUUGGCUUAAUGUUGCAUAAAGAAACUCAACCAUUCAUAGAGCGUAAUUGGUAUUGGGUAGUGUAAUUAGAAUACACCUUCUGGUUAUAUCCAUCGGGAUUAAUAAGAUCCUUACACAGUAGAUUUUAACUUGUUUUCUUUGUGUUCUACGUUUCUAU